UACGAACUGUGCAAACGUUAUUCGGAAUCACUGGGCUUACAGGGUGCGUAGGCGGUCUGUUAAGUAGGGUGUGAAAGCCCCCGGCUCAACCGGGGAAUUGCGCCCUAAACUGGCGGACUGGAGUGAGAUAGGGGUGUGCGGAACUUCCGGUGGAGCGGUGAAAUGUGUUGAUAUCGGAAGGAACACCGGUGGCGAAAGCGGUGCACUGGGGCUCAACUGACGCUGAGGCACGAAAGCCAGGGUAGCGAACGGG
rnacentral:rRNA from 1 species